CUACCUGAGAAGCCCAGGUCCAGCAGCACCGCGCGGCGACGGUCGCGGACGCUGCUGAUCUGCUGGAAGCGCACGUCGAGCAGCAGGAACGCGACGCAGGCGAAGAAGGCCCCAAGGCCGAGCGCGACGCCGAAGCGGCAGGCACCAGCGUUGCCGUUGAAGACGCAGCGCAGCUCCGGGCCGCUGUCGGCGUUCACGUAGCCCUCGUUGACUAUGGGCCCGAAGACGGCGAUGGAGAACACCUGUGGGCGGUGGGAGCACUCAAGGCCCUGCGAUGGCCCCUUCCUGGUCGAGGCCCGAGGUCUCCUAGCCCACCCCCCAGCUCCUAGAGACUUAGUCAAGAGUGAAACCAAGGUGCAAGAUAUGGACACGUACCCACAGAUUGGUCCACAAGUCAGGUCAAAGCUGGGACCAGAAUGUAGGGUCCCUACUUCCUGGUCUGGCCAGAGUCACUCCACCCAAGGGCCCCUGCCCCACUCUGGGCACCGCCCUCCUGGAACACAGGACAUUGAGGAAAGUCUGCAUUUGUUGAGCAUUUACAGUGCCAGGUGUUUCACCACGACCUGUGGAGGCAGAGACUGUUUUACUGCCAUUCUUCAGAUGGGGUCACGGGUUCGAGCCCUGGUCUGGGAAGAUCCCAC